UAAUCACUGGCGCCUUGUUCCUAUAUUUGUUUGUCAGUAUCUUUCACCCAAAAAGAAGAAGAAAAGUUUGUCAGUCAGUUGCUCCACGUUUUUGGCCUCCUAGGGAAGAAAAUGCUUUGUCAAAGUGGGGCCUAUGGCUGGGGCUAUCAAUGGGUACCUGAAUCCAUGGGUAUCCAAGAUAUUCAACCCAAUUUUAAUGUAUUUGGAUCCUAACCUUGUGCUGUCUAAUAAUGAGGUCAGGUUCAAGUCCAUAGGUCUAGGCUUGUUCAAUAAUCAAGCCGGAUAGUGUAUCUAAUUGGGUGUCUAUUGGGUAAUCGAGAGUAUGCAUUAAUAACCUUCUUCUUCUUCAUCUUAUGCCUCAGAAUUUGAUCAUGAGGCUUGAAUCCUCCAUUAUAUUCCCAAUACACAACAGGUACCCGAACCCGAUCAGAUUUGGUUCCAUGUGUCUCCUCCUCCUUAUCAGGAUGGCAUUUAGACUGCGAAGCCAUCAUACGUCAGACUAGAUGUUAACAUGGAGAAACCUAGAAUGCUUUCACUUUCUUCUCCUUGAGGGAUUUUUAUGAAAGAAUUCUUCAAAAGAUCACCGAGAAAUUGAAAAAAUCCUUGCAUGUUGUAAUUUAUGAGAGUGGCAUCUUGGUGUAUGGAAGGUAGGGCACGUGAUAAAUUUCCAAAAUUCUUAGAAGAAAAUUGGAUUCACCUUUCUUUAGUUGAAAAUAUUUUUUUUGUGGUAAUCCUCUUGGCACUGGAACAAUUUUUGUUUUUUCCAAAAGCAACAGCACCCAUUUUUUAGCGAUGGGUUAAUGAGGUGUUGAAAAGGAUAAAUUAGAGAAGUGCAACAUCGAUUUGCAAGAUUUGUCGAAUUUUGGUCCCAAUUUUGUUGAAUUUUGAUAUCAAAUCCGUUAAGUAAUUGACUUGAGAAAUGGUUGAGGUGUUUUGCACGAGUGAGUUCGAAAAGCAAUUUGUGGCAUGUGAUCCAACUUGCAUAUCGAGAUCUGUGCCACUCAUCAUGUGGGUCCCACGAUGAGCGUUCUUUAACACAAAAAAUAGAUGGACUGGUUACCAUACAUACCAGAUGUGUAUGUUUUAACUGUCCAUUUCUCUCACACACAUUUUAACCAUUACUGCAGGCCAUAGCACUUCUCAAAUUUAUCCGUCUUGUUAUCUCAAUAAUACAUCACUAAAAGGACUGAGAGUUAAGUGUUACUAUGAAAAAAUUCAAAAUCCUUUGGUUCCAAAAGGAUUAAGAAAAAAGGUACCAGGUUUUGAAGAAAUUAUCUUUAGUACUGAAAGGCUUCCCACAACCUAGGUCUGUCAACGCCAAACUUUGGAUAGGCCCAGCUAGAGCAGUUCAAUAUCUGUGCCUAAGACAACACUAUGCUCGGCCCAUCGACAACCCUACCACAAGUAGAAACCUUUCAACACGAAGGUUUUGGGAAAAGAUAAACUGGUGAACGUUUUUUUAUUUGAAAGAUAAUAAACUGCUGAAACGUUUCCCACAGGCAACAACCAAAAAAGACCUUACUGUAAUAAAAGGUGAAUCCAUUUUUUAAAAAAGAUGGACAGAGAGCAAAUCCAUCGUUUGUCCACACAUCUGUAUGCAGAGUAUGUGCCAUCUUCAUAAAUUAAAACAGCUGUGGAUUUUUCUCAAAAUUUCAGUAAAGUUUUAUUGAGGAUUUUUAUUUUAUUUUAUUUUAUUUUUUCCAUAAAAACCAUUUUCUUAACUUAUCAGUGACAGUCUUUUUAAACCUGGCAUAUAUGUAUUAUGUACAGAUCCAAACCAUUCUUCAUGUGGGCCCAAACUUGCACAUGAUUAUCAGAUUGGUGUGGAUUCUGCGUAUGGCAAUCCAAGCUGUAGCCCACCUGAUGAUCGGUUCAGACCUAUUUUUAUGAAAGGCAACUCUCAUAAAUUGACAGAAGAAAGUGACAAACACCAUAGUGUGACAUGAUUGCAGUUAUGACUCUGGCAAUGACGGCUGAUGGUUGUCGUAAUUCAGGUGAAGAAUCAUGGUGGCCUUACAAAUUGCUAGAACAUGGAUCUCAGUGCCAUUAAAGAUGCAUCUGAUUGUGUUCCUGAGCACCAAAGGUUACCUUCCUUCAAAACCCAAGAAAUGAUUGAUCAAAUAGGCUGAAAAUCAAAUCCGCAUUUUGUGAAAAUGCAGUUGACAAGGACAUAACCUCUCCUGCAGACCAAAAAAUCAUUCUCACAGAACUUAACGGAAAGCUGAACAAGUUGGGCUAAAUAUAUCAGCUCAAGGGCCUGCAGAAGGAGCUGAAUGCUGUGCUGAGCAAGUGUGUGAAGCUCCUUGAUUAAGUCCUAUCCCAACAUAUCCAAGGCAGGUUGACUUCGACAUCAUCACACAGUCAACCAGAUCAUCAGGGGCCACUUCUACAGGAAAAGACUGUUCAAUCUCGGUGACUGCUUCGCAAAUGAGGCCCAUGAACUGGAGCACAUGAAGUCUCUGUUCCUUGAGAUGCAUUGGAUACUUGAUGCAAUUAGGAAUAGGAACCUGGGACCUGCAGUGGAAUGGUUGGCCACCAAUAGGACCAGGUCUUGCAGAAUGGCUCGACCCUUGACCAGGGUGCAGUUUGCAGAGAUACUGGAAGGGAAGCAAGGUGAUGUACUCAACUAUGCUAUGACUUGCCUGGCCCAUUUGCUGAAUUACACAUGACUGACUUCCAGAAGCUCAUAGCCUGUCUAUUGUGGGUGGGGCAGCUAGAACAUUCCACAUAAAGCAGAACUUCUUUCUCCAGCCCACUGGGAAAGGUGUUGCGGUCCCUACUGAAGUUGGCGACUUUUAUGGUGGCUAACAAGCAAGAAUGGCGCAUCAUGUAGCAGUUAUCUGUGCCGUUGGAUCUGGGGAGUGAGUUCCAAUUCGGUACAAUUUUUGUCUGCCUGGUUUCUCAUGAUCAAGUGAGUGAAGAGAACCUGCCCAUGCUGCUGCCCUGCAGCAUGUGCUGUGCAAGCAGUUGAUCUUGAAGCUGUUGAAGAGCAAUGUGAGUAUGUUUGAGUGUUUGCACUGCUUAUUCAAGGCCACCUAGGCCAAUGUAGGCAGCUCUACUUCUGAUGCUUCCCAGUCUCACAUGUUUGUGUAAUGUUAGGAUUCUUUCUCUCUCCCCAUGAUCUGACAGAAGGUUGUGUUGUGCAUUUAAGCCAUGGGGAUUAUGGAGUGACAUGGGGGACAUGUUCCGGUAUAUGUGAAGGCAUGCAUGCAUCUAUUUGCUGUGAAUAGACAUUCCUUAAGGAUUCAUGUGGGAGCUGACCCAUUUAUUGCCAUAAAACAGCAAACCCAAUUCGCCAUUAUUGCAUUUUUGCACUUUCCUUGGCAGCCUUCAGGUCCCACCAUGAAACAUGAUAAUUGAAGUGAGGGAGUCUUGGGGUUUGAUCUAUGCAUCGAGCUACUCAUGAACAUGGCUCACUGAACUUCAAGUGAUGAUUAUAGCGGAGAUCAAAACCACUAAGUUGGACAGCCAAGAAUCUUGUGGAGAGCAGGGCUGGUUACUAGACUGGCCCUAGAUGAUGCAGGUUCACACGCACACACUGCAGUAUGAGACUGGCCCUAGAUGAUGCAGGUUGCUCAGUGGUCAUUAAACAACCAGAAAGUUUGUCAAAGGCCAAGAAGAUGGGCGAGGCCGCCUGGUGGCAGUCAAGGCCUAGAAGAAGACGAAAUUGAGGAUAUACAGGAAGAGAAGAAAAACCAUUAGGUGUAGAUGAACAACUAGUUGGUGUACCGAUGACAACGAAAUGCAAGAAGGGGAAGUAACAUUUAAGAAAGCGAUGAGUAUGAUGAUAAUGGUAGUGAUGAUGAUGCCAAUGAUGGUGGAGAUGUGCCAUAAUGGAUUAUGGAUCAAUGUGUAUCGCCAAUUUUAAAAUUUUAAAAUUUGAAUUUGUAUAAUGUAUUUCUACUUCGAAUUAUCUUUAUUCAAAAUUAUAUCAACACAUGCACGCAUUUUUUAGUGUAUG